GGAGCUAGGAGGAGCAGUUGGAUUCUGGAUCAUUUUGCAGGCAGAGCCCAUAGGACUUGCCGAUGGAUUGGAUGUGAAAGACUCUGAGGUCUGGGGGUGCUUAGGGCCAGGCCUCAUGGUCAGAGAGAGAGGCAUAGCUGGGAUUUGAAUGUGAUGUCGUGGUGAGUGCUGGGGACCACCACACGGAGCUGAUUUCCAAUUUCCGUGCAACAUGAAAAGUGAAAAAAACUUCAGUCCAACCAGAGAGCUCACAGAAGGCUUCCUGGAGGAGGUGGUGCCUGAGCUAAGCCUUGCGGGAGGAGAAAGAGCCCACCAGUGACUGGUGGUGUGUGGAUAUACGGACAUACUGGGUCAUGAUAUGAAAUGCAAUUCUUACUGUGGGUCAUGAUUUUAAAACCUCAGAAGCCACUGGAUUUACUCAUUUAAUCCUCACAACAACCCUAUGAGACGAGGACAAGGGGUGAUAUUUACUGAGAUCUUAAAUCUCCACCCGGUUGCUGGUAGAAAAAUAGGUGCGAAGAAACCAGAAGUCAUCUGGACCUUCUUCUGCAAAGCAGGCCCUACCUACGCAGGGGAAAGGCCAGAAGUGGAUUUCCCCCUGGAUAUAGGAAGCUGAAGAGAAAAUGUCCCAGGGGUUUUAGAUUGUGGAUUCGUUUGCUCACCAUGGGAGCCUUCCCCCUUCUGAUGUGCCUUCCAGUACCACAGCUAAAACUACACUUCCUCACUCCCCUUGAAGCCAUAUUUCUGUCAAUCUGACGUACUUGCAUGAGAUUUGGAAAGUGAAAGUGAAACUGAAAUGGAGGUUCUGCUAAUGUUGCUUCUGCCAUGAAUUUUGGCAAGCACAGUCACGGACAGGCUGCUGUUUUUUUCUGAGGUACCACAAGUGACUGGCUUUGUGCGUUUUGAGAGGCUCUCAUCUCUGUGAAUCCAGCAAAUGUGAUGUGGUUCUGGAGCUGACAAUUCCAGUACAGGCCUACUCGUUUUACUGCGCUUCAUAGAUAUUACGUUUUUCACAAAUUGAAG